GGGGAUUUGGCUCAGUGGUAGAGCGCUUGCCUAGCAAGCGCAAGGCCCUGGGUUCGGUUCCCAGCUCCG
rfam:Rattus norvegicus chromosome 3, whole genome shotgun sequence.